ACAGCAGUAGCCGCGGUAAUACGUAGGUGGCAAGCGUUGUCCGGAUUUAUUGGGCGUAAAGCGAGCGCAGGCGGUUUCUUAAGUCUGAUGUGAAAGCCCCCGGCUCAACCGGGGAGGGUCAUUGGAAACUGGGAGACUUGAGUGCAGAAGAGGGGAGUGGAAUUCCAUGUGUAGCGGUGAAAUGCGUAGAUAUAUGGAGGAACACCAGUGGCGAAGGCGGCUCUCUGGUCUGUAACUGACGCUGAGGCUCGAAAGCGUGGGGAGCGAACAGGAUUAGAUACCCCCGUAGUCCCUGUCUCUUAUAC
rnacentral:rRNA from 1 species